GUCCCGGCGUUAAUGGGCUUAAACGCCUUUACAGCCACCCACGUUUAAGCCCACCCACGUUUCCCCCGAUCCCUCCCAAACUGCAGAUCACGGUGGGGGGACCUGCCUGGUCCCCUGUGGCCAAUCCAUAGUGAUCUGCAGUUUGUGAUCCCAGUGACAGGCAGUCACUGCGAUCACUGUUACAAUGUGUCAGCCAAUGAUUUUAAAUUACUGGCUGACACAUUGUCUCUACCCCUCUCCUCACCUCACUUCAAUCUGAGAGAGAGAGGCAGAGAGAUCGUUGCUGGAUAGCCCUGUAGGAG